rnacentral:rRNA from 1 species
UACGUAGGGUGCGAGCGUUGUCCGGAAUUAUUGGGCGUAAAGGGCUCGUAGGCGGUUUGUCGCGUCGGGAGUGAAAACUCAGGGCUUAACCCUGAGCCUGCUUCCGAUACGGGCAGACUAGAGGUAUGCAGGGGAGAACGGAAUUCCUGGUGUAGCGGUGAAAUGCGCAGAUAUCAGGAGGAACACCGGUGGCGAAGGCGGGUCUCUGGGCAGUAACUGACGCUGAGGAGCGAAAGCGUAGGGAGCGAACAGG